UGGGGAAUUUUGGACAAUGGGCGAAAGCCUGAUCCAGCAAUGCCGCGUGUGUGAAGAAGGCCUUCGGGUUGUAAAGCACUUUUGUCCGGAAAGAAAUCCUUGGCUCUAAUACAGUCGGGGGAUGACGGUACCGGAAGAAUAAGCACCGGCUAACUACGCGCCAGCAGCCGCGGUAAUACGUAGGGUGCAAGCGUUAAUCGGAAUUACUGGGCGUAAAGCGUGCGCAGGCGGUUUGCUAAGACCGAUGUGAAAUCCCCGGGCUCAACCUGGGAACUGCAUUGGUGACUGGCAGGCUAGAGUAUGGCAGAGGGGGGUAGAAUUCCACGUGUAGCAGUGAAAUGCGUAGAGAUGUGGAGGAAUACCGAUGGCGAAGGCAGCCCCCUGGGCCAAUACUGACGCUCAUGCACGAAAGCGUGGGGAGCAAAACAGGAUUAGAUACCCUGGUAGUCCACGCCCUAAAACGAUGUCAACUAGUUGUUGGGGGAUUCAUUUCCUUAGUAACGUAGCUAACGCGUGAAGUUGACCGCCU
rnacentral:rRNA from 1 species